GUGCGGUAACGCAUUCAGCCGACCGGUACUAAUCGGCCGAGGGCUUGGAUCG
rnacentral:rRNA from 1 species